GGGAGUAUAGCUCAGGUGGGAGAGCGCCUGCUUGACGUGCAGAAGGUCACAGGUUCGAGUCCUGUUACUCCCA
rnacentral:tRNA from 1 species